rnacentral:lncRNA from 1 species
UUCUCUGUCUAGCUGUGACCGGCUGAGGCGGCGCGGCGGCACAGGGACGGUAGUUUUGCCUAUCCGCGUUGUGGUGUUGGCGGCUUCGAGGAAUCGCAGGGCUGGUACCGGUGGCAUGAGCUGUAGUUCUGGAGUCUUGCUGCAGCACCAUAGUGUCAGUUGGUCCCGCCCAGAACACUUCAGUUCUGCUCUGCAAGGAUAUAUAACUGAUUGGUGUGUCCAUUUAAUACAAGAAAAUGGAAACGGAACAACCGGAGGAAACCUUUCCCAACACUGAAACCAAUGGCGAAUUUGGUAAACGCCCUGCUGAAGAUAUGGAAGAAGAACAAGCUUUUAAAAGAUCUAGAAACACUGAUGAGAUGGUUGAACUGCGCAUCCUGCUUCAGAGCAAGAAUGCUGGGGCAGUGAUUGGGAAAGGAGGCAAGAAUAUUAAGGCUCUCCGUACAGACUACAAUGCCAGUGUUUCAGUCCCAGACAGCAGUGGCCCCGAGCGCAUAUUGAGUAUCAGUGCCGAUAUUGAAACAAUUGGAGAAAUUCUGAAGAAAAUCAUCCCUACCUUAGAAGAGGGCCUGCAGUUGCCAUCACCCACUGCAACCAGCCAGCUCCCGCUCGAAUCUGAUGCUGUGGAAUGCUUAAAUUACCAGCACUAUAAAGGAAGCGACUUUGACUGCGAGUUGAGAUUGUUGAUUCAUCAGAGUCUGGCAGGAGGAAUUAUUGGGGUCAAAGGUGCUAAAAUCAAAGAACUUCGGGAGAACACUCAGACAACAAUCAAGCUUUUCCAGGAAUGUUGUCCUCAGUCCACUGACAGAGUCGUUCUCAUUGGAGGAAAACCUGAUAGGGAUGUAGAGUGUAUAAAGAUCAUCCUUGAUCUCAUAUCAGAGUCGCCCAUUAAAGGACGUGCUCAGCCUUAUGAUCCCAAUUUUUAUGAUACGUAUGAUUAUGGUGGCUUUACAAUGAUGUUUGAUGAUCGCCGUGGACGUCCUGUGGGAUUUCCCAUGCGGGGAAGAGGUGGUUUUGACAGAAUGCCUCCUGGUCGAGGAGGGCGUCCCAUGCCUCCAUCUAGAAGAGAUUAUGACGAUAUGAGCCCUCGUCGAGGACCUCCUCCCCCUCCUCCUGGACGAGGUGGCCGGGGGGGUAGCAGAGCUAGGAAUCUUCCUCUUCCACCACCACCACCACCUAGAGGAGGAGAUCUAAUGGCUUAUGACAGAAGAGGAAGACCUGGAGACCGCUAUGAUGGCAUGGUUGGUUUCAGUGCUGAUGAAACCUGGGACUCUGCAAUUGAUACAUGGAGCCCAUCAGAGUGGCAGAUGGCUUAUGAACCACAGGGUGGAUCUGGAUAUGAUUAUUCCUAUGCAGGGGGUCGUGGCUCAUACGGUGAUCUUGGUGGACCUAUUAUUACUACACAAGUAACUAUUCCCAAAGAUUUGGCUGGAUCUAUUAUUGGCAAAGGUGGUCAGCGGAUUAAACAAAUCCGUCAUGAAUCAGGAGCUUCGAUCAAAAUUGAUGAGCCUUUAGAAGGGUCCGAAGAUCGGAUCAUUACCAUUACAGGAACACAGGACCAGAUACAGAAUGCACAGUAUUUGCUGCAGAACAGUGUGAAGCAGUAUGCAGAUGUUGAAGGAUUCUAAUGCAAGAUAUUUUUUCUUUUUUAUAGUGUGAAGCAGUAUUCUGGAAAGUUUUUCUAAGACUAGUGAAGAACUGAAGGAGUCCUGCAUCUUUUUUUUUUUUAUCUGCUUCUGUUUAAAAAGCCAACAUUCCUCUGCUUCAUAGGUGUUCUGCAUUUGAGGUGUAGUGAAAUCUUUGCUGUUCACCAGAUGUAAUGUUUUAGUUCUUACAAACAGGGUUGGGGGGUGGGGGAGGGCGUGCAAAAACUAACAUUGAAAUUUUGAAACAGCAGCAGAGUGAGUGAAUUUUAAUUUUUGUUCAUUGUUGGUGGUUUAAAAAAAAAUUCCCCCAUGUAAUUAUUGUGAACACUUUGCUUUGUGGUCACUAAAACAUUUGGGGGAUGGGGGGACAGGGAAAAAAAGUAACAAUAGUCCAUAUGUCCCUGGCAUCUAUUCAGAGCAGUGUGCAGAAUGUAAUGCUCUUUUGUAAGAAACGUUUUAUGAUUUUUAAAAUAAAUUUAGUGAAC